rnacentral:rRNA from 1 species
AACUUCGAGUGAGUAGAGCGGCGGACGGGAGAGUAACGCGUGGGAAUCUGCCUAGUAGUGGGGGAUAACUUAUGGAAACGUAAGCUAAUACCGCAUACACCCUACGGGGAAAAGGGGGCUUCGGCUCUCGCUAUUAGAGGAGCCCGCGUUAGAUUAGCUAGUUGGUGAGGUAAAGGCUCACCAAGGCGACGAUCUAUAGCUGGUCUGAGAGGAUGAUCAGCCUCAUUGGGACUGAGACACGGCCCAAACUCCUACGGGAGGCAGCAGUGGGGAAUAUUGGACAAUGGGCGAAAGCCUGAUCCAGCCAUGCCGCGUGUGUGAAGAAGGCCCUAGGGUUGUAAAGCACUUUCAGUAGGGAGGAAAAGUUAGUAGUUAAUACCUGCUAACCCUGACGUUACCUACAGAAGAAGCACCGGCAAACUCCGUGCAGCAGCCGCGGUAAUACGGAGGGUGCGAGCGUUAAUCGGAAUUACUAGGCGUAAAGCGCGCGUAGGCGGCUUGUUAAGCAGGAUGUGAAAUCCCCGGGCUCAACCUGGGAACUGCAUCCUGAACUGACAAGCUAGAGUAUAGUAGAGGAUAGUGGAAUUUCUGGUGUAGCGGUGAAAUGCGUAGAUAUCAGAAGGAACAUCAGUGGCGAAGGCGACUGUCUGGACUAAUACUGACGCUGAGGUGCGAAAGCGUGGGGAGCAAACAGGAUUAGAUACCCUGGUAGUCCACGCCGUAAACGAUGUCAAUUAGCCGUUGGAAAUCUUGUAUUUUUAGUGGCGCAGCUAACGCGAUAAAUUGACCGCCUGGGGAGUACGGCCGCAAGGUUAAAACUCAAAUGAAUUGACGGGGGCCCGCACAAGCGGUGGAGCAUGUGGUUUAAUUCGAUGCAACGCGAAGAACCUUACCAGGUCUUGACAUCCAGAGAACUUUCCAGAGAUGGAUUGGUGCCUUCGGGAACUCUGUGACAGGUGCUGCAUGGCUGUCGUCAGCUCGUGUCGUGAGAUG